AACGAACGCUGGCGGCAGGCCUAACACAUGCAAGUCGAACGCUCUAGCAAUAGAGAGUGGCAGACGGGUGAGUAACGCGUGGGAACCUUCCCAAUGGUGCAGAAUAGCCCAGGGAAACUUGGGGUAAUACUGCAUAAGCCCUUCGGGGGAAAGAUUUAUCGCCAUUGGAUGGGCCCGCGUCGGAUUAGCUAGUUGGUGAGGUAAUGGCUCACCAAGGCAACGAUCCGUAGCUGGUUUGAGAGAAUGACCAGCCACACUGGGACUGAGACACGGCCCAGACUCCUACGGGAGGCAGCAGUGGGGAAUCUUGGACAAUGGGCGCAAGCCUGAUCCAGCCAUGCCGCGUGAGUGACGAAGGCCUUAGGGUUGUAAAGCUCUUUUGCCGGGGACGAUAAUGACGGUACCCGGAGAGUAAGUCCCGGCUAACUUCGUGCCAGCAGCCGCAGUAA
rnacentral:rRNA from 1 species